rnacentral:rRNA from 1 species
GACGAACGCUGGCGGCGUGCUUAACACAUGCAAGUCGAACGGAAAGGCCCUGCUUGCAGGGUGCUCGAGUGGCGAACGGGUGAGUAACACGUGGGUGAUCUGCCCCUUACUUUGGGAUAAGCCUGGGAAACUGGGUCUAAUACUGGAUAGGACCAUGCUGUAGGUGGUGUGGUGGAAAGAUUAGUUUCGGUAAGGGAUGAGCUCGCGGCCUAUCAGCUUGUUGGUGGGGUAAUGGCCUACCAAGGCGUCGACGGGUAGCCGGCCUGAGAGGGUGGACGGCCACAUUGGGACUGAGAUACGGCCCAGACUCCUACGGGAGGCAGCAGUGGGGGAUAUUGCACAAUGGGCGCAAGCCUGAUGCAGCGACGCCGCGUGGGGGAUGACGGCCUUCGGGUUGUAAACUCCUCUCAGCCAUGACGAAGCCCUUGUGGUGACGGUAGUGGUAGAAGAAGCACCGGCUAACUACGUG